ACUUUAAGCGAGGAGGAGGCUACUUAGAUUAAUACUCUAGGAUAGUGGACGUUACUCGCAGAAUAAGCACCGGCUAACUCUGUGCCAGCAGCCGCGGUAAUACAGAGGGUGCGAGCGUUAAUCGGAUUUACUGGGCGUAAAGCGUGCGUAGGCGGCUUCUUAAGUCGGAUGUGAAAUCCCUGAGCUUAACUUAGGAAUUGCAUUCGAUACUGGGAAGCUAGAGUAUGGGAGAGGAUGGUAGAAUUCCAGGUGUAGCGGUGAAAUGCGUAGAGAUCUGGAGGAAUACCGAUGGCGAAGGCAGCCAUCUGGCCUAAUACUGACGCUGAGGUACGAAAGCAUGGGGAGCAAACAGGAUUAGAUACCCUGGUAGUCCAUGCCGUAAACGAUGUCUACUAGCCGUUGGGGCCUUUGAGGCUUUAGUGGCGC
rnacentral:rRNA from 1 species